UACGUAGGAGGCAAGCGUUGUCCGGAAUUACUGGGCGUAAAGCGCGUGUAGGUGGUGGGACAAGUCUGCUGUGAAAGCGCCUGGCUUAACCGGGCGAGGUCGGCGGAAACUGUCGCACUCGAGGACGGUAGAGGGGGGUGGAAUUCCCGGUGUAGUGGUGAAAUGCGUAGAGAUCGGGAGGAACACCUGUGGCGAAGGCGGCCGACUGGGCCGACCCUGACGCUGAGGCGCGAAGGCGUGGGGAGCGAACGGG
rnacentral:rRNA from 1 species